rnacentral:rRNA from 1 species
UACGUAGGGUGCAGGCGUUAAUCGGAAUUACUGGGCGUAAAGCGUGCGCAGGCGGUUUGUUAAGACAGGUGUGAAAUCCCCGGGCUUAACCUGGGAACUGCGCUUGUUACUGGCAGACUUGAGUGUGGCAGAGGGGGGUGGAAUUCCACGUGUAGCAGUGAAAUGCGUAGAGAUGUGGAGGAACACCGAUGGCGAAGGCAGCCCCCUGGGCUAACACUGACGCUCAUGCACGAAAGCGUGGGGAGCAAACAGGAUUAGAUACCCCCGUAGUCC